rnacentral:rRNA from 1 species
CCUACGGGUGGCAGCAGUGGGGAAUAUUGCACAAUGGGCGCAAGCCUGAUGCAGCCAUGCCGCGUGUGUGAAGAAGGCCUUCGGGUUGUAAAGCACUUUCAGCGGGGAGGAAGGCGGUGAGGUUAAUAACCUCACCGAUUGACGUUACCCGCAGAAGAAGCACCGGCUAACUCCGUGCCAGCAGCCGCGGUAAUACGGAGGGUGCAAGCGUUAAUCGGAAUUACUGGGCGUAAAGCGCACGCAGGCGGUCUGUCAAGUCGGAUGUGAAAUCCCCGGGCUCGACCUGGGAACUGCAUUCGAAACUGGCAGGCUAGAGUCUUGUAGAGGGGGGUAGAAUUCCAGGUGUAGCGGUGAAAUGCGUAGAGAUCUGGAGGAAUACCGGUGGCGAAGGCGGCCCCCUGGACAAAGACUGACGCUCAGGUGCGAAAGCGUGGGGAGCAAACAGGAUUAGAUACCCCGGUA